rnacentral:lncRNA from 1 species
UGGACUACGACGUGACAGGUGACACGACGAGCAGGUCCAGGUCAACCCCCCGCCGACGGGGCGGGGGGGUUGACCGUGCGACGCGACGCGAGGCAGCAGCUCUCCGUUCCGUUCCGUUCCCGCCGAGCCGAGGGCCGCUGGCCAACGACCGACAGGAUCGCGUGAUUCCGGUGGCGCGCCGCGAAAUCUCGUCGCGCACGGCCCCAUUUUUAUGCCCGCGC